AGUAAUACCUAUAUGAUACGAAUGCCACUAGUUCCUAAAAAAUAAGUAAAACGCCGCAAUGAUUAUUAAUGACCUUCACGUUGAAAUUUGUAAUACUAUAUUAUCACGAUGACGAUGAUGAUAAUAUAGCAGAAUAGUAACUGUAUACCGGUUGGGGAUCAGUUGCUUAGUGCGACUUUAAAAUAUAUAGUAGGUACUAGGUAGGUAUCAACCAGUUUUUCAAGUUACCUAUAUACAAUCACAUGCUACAGAACACAAAAUUUACAUAUAUUAUACAAGUGAUAUAAAGUUAUAAUAUGUUUUGUCAUCAAAAUUAUUGCUUUUUGAAACAGACAUUUAUUUGCUUUUGAUUUUGUAUUUUUCUUUACUGUAAAUGGUAUUAUACUUCACUAUUUGAAUGAAGGUGUUCAAGUGUUAUGGUAUGGUUGUAAUAUUACAGAUAGAGGCAAGGCUGUGACUGGUGGGGUCCAGAGGGGUCCGGACUCCCCCCUUUUAAAAUUUUUAAAAAUUUAAUCAAAUGUCAUAUGAAAAGUUUUAUCGUUAUUUUAACUAGUUUUAUUAAAUACAAUCAUACACUCAAAAUAUAAAGUAACAAAGUGUGUCCAAUACAAUUAAGAUUUUCGUACAUCAUACAAGUGGGACAUGUACUCUAUAUUAUGUAUUUAUGCUAUGUAUUUUUGUACUUGUGAAUAGUGAAACCCAUUGGAAGAAUUUAACGAAGUAAUGACAUGACAUGUUUUAUUGAAUUAAAGUUGAGACGGUCACGCCAGAAUUUGAUAGAGAUGACAUUUCGAUUUUAAGUAGAUUUUCUUUGUAAUAAUAUUUUUAAUUCAUUUGUUAUUUAAUCCUUUCUAGUGUCAUUAUUAUUUACUUACAUCAGAUGUUCAAGUACACAUAGAAAAAUAAUCACAUAUAUCAACUGUAGUUUUACGUGAUAUAAAAGUGUG